CACUAAAUAAGGACAAAUAAACAGACUGCCAUCAAAAACCUCUUCAGGUCACUAGACUGGAAUCAUAGUUGGAAAUCUAAGGAGAAAAUGUGCAGCAGAAGGUAACGGUGUGAUCAAAGCAAUGACAUCAGACAGCAAGUUUUCUCUGGAGCACAGCAAUGCUCCACAGAAGGCUGGGAGCACAUGUUGAUAAACUCUAUUAUGGGCCAAUUUUAGCUUCAAACUCUCACUAGCCAGCUUGUCAGUUGGAAAAGUGGGUCAUAAACUUGAGGGAGGAUAGUUCUGCAUCAGAUAUAAGAGGGAGAAAUUUACAGAUCCACUGUGGAGUUGGGAAACAAACACAAAUGAAUAGAUGUAAUGCUUCUAUUAAAUAUAACUAUCUGGAAUUAAAUUGUCCAAAAGAUUAUGCAUAAAAAUGGAAAGUACAGCAUUUUGUACAAUUUAGGGACAGUACUGGUCAGAAAAUGACAUGUAUUACAUACAGAAAAGUUUCAUUCUGAGACCUGGUUUCAAAACGUGCCGCUUUAAGAAACUCCGGUCACCAGUAUCGUGUAAACGAACGGCUAGAUUGCAACAAAAAUGUUACCAUUCAAGUGGCUUUCAUGUCAAAUUACUCAAAAUCUCCAAAUCAACCGGUAGUUUUCUUCCAAUCUCCCAAGAUUAACAUUUUGCCACAAAUCUGGUUACUUUCGCUUUAAAUACAAGAUCAAGACAGAGUGUAUGUAGCUUCCACAUAUGUAGGUAAAGAACAGGGACUAAGCUUGUUCAAGAAACUGCAUUGGGAACAACUUCCCAGGGAUCUGAGAUCGCUACAAUAUCAACACCAACUCAGAUGGUGGUACUGAGGCUGCAAGCCUUUCUCUCAGUGGGGAGGGUGUUGAGAUAAGUCUUUCUAAAUACAAUCCUGUCUCUCAAAAAGAGAAAAAAAGAGAAGCCAAAUGUGGAUGACACCAAGGCAAAACUGCAUGUUGCUGGAAACUGAGUUUUUUCAUAAAAUUUUUCAGCUCAAAUGCAACACAGUAAGCAGGAGGAGGAGUGAGGAACCUUAGCAGGAAAAACUGGUACGAUUUGUGGAAGUAAUUAAGUGAAGAACAUGAAUCUUUCUUCACCCAAGAUUUGUGGGAUUAGAAUUGGAUUUUUGGCUGAGUGAUAAGAACUCAAUUCAGUUGCUGUCAAAGUGAUCAAAAAUAGCUCUAGAGGAGUCACAGGUGAGAUGGCUGAAGUGACUGCAGGUGGUGUUGUUGAACGUGAUUUUUUCCCAAAUAAUUUUGUGCUCCUCUUAUCAACACAAAAUGUUUACUUUCUAAAAAUUAAAUAAAUAAAUCCAAAGUAAUUCUUAUUUUUUUUUCUCUUUUAUUCAUGUAAGAGGAAUCAUUGGUAAAAAUUAAAAUGCAGUGGACCACCUAUUUGUGGUUCAUUAUCUGCAAAUUCUCCUAUUUGCUGAUGAAUGUUUUUUUUUGUGGAACAUAACUCCAACUUACUUGUGGAAAUUUGCCUAUUUGGGAAAAUAUUCAAAAGAACAUUUCGCUUGUAGCUAAUCUAAUUUCUUUGGCACUGAUUGGCUGUUCUCCCAAAAGCAGAGACCACCAGCUUUUAUAAUAGUGCAAAGACAAUUUCAACUGUGGCAUUAAUGCGGAUGUAACCGGGUGGUCUAUAACGGUGUUUAUAUAAAGUGGCUGUAAAUUCCCACCCGUUUCUGGCCCCUGAACGCACCAUGCCCCGUUUCCCCACCUUCACUUCCGUUUGCAGCAUUGUCGGGCUCAUUAGUGCGUAUAUAGGCUCCAGGUGUGCCCGCCAGGUUUGGAGAGUCGGAUCCAUUGUGGUGUGCAGGUGGAUCUGUUGGAUGAGCGCUGGCGCCAAGAUUUGGAUCCUGCACAUUUGUGCUGAUGGAUGCAUUUCAGUGGUUCUUUGCUGCAGCAUCUGAGGGUACGCUGUUGUGUGGCUGAUUAAGGUAACAGUUUUUCAUCUUGCCUUGAGUGGUUUUAUUAUUGUCAGCAGACACUUUACCUUUAUUUUUGGUAUUGCUGAUGUUGCAUAUUGUGCUCUCACCUCGGUGCAUUUUUUUUGAUGCUUUGGGUUAAAUGAAUGGGUUGAGCUAAAGAGCUGGAGUUGUAGCACAGGCUCCAUAGAACCAAACGGUUAGUUCAUAUGUUUUGUUUUAUGAAUUAGCUGAUUGGGUGCAGCGUCAUAGGACUGGGCUGACGCAACGUGAGACUUGUUUUUUUUUUUUUCUGUGUUUUUUUCCAACAUUAUUUUGUGUCAUUAAUUUGCAGGGUUACUAAUUUGGUUUGCAGUUUUUGUUUAAGUCUCAAAUUGCUUCUAGUGUCCUGAGUUGCUGGCUCUAUUGGGUUUUAAACUAGAAUAAUGUCUAUUUUUAAUAUUGUAAAAUAAUGUAUAAAUAAAAUAUAUUUUGUAUACUAUUUCUGUUUCAUCAUUUUAAGCCAGACCUACCUGGGUACUUUUAAUUGGGAGACCUUAGGCUACUUGAUGAGAUUUAAGAAGUCUACCAGUUGGCUUUAAGGCCACGUCCUCUGUCACAAUCCGGGUUCUUCCCCCGUGUUACACAUAUAAAGG